GAUGAGUCACAUUUUUACCUGGGUAAC
rnacentral:piRNA from 1 species